GCAAGUCAGGGGCAGCACAAGGAGCAAUCUGAGGUGGCGACCGGCGCACGGGUGAGUAACACGUAUGCAACCUGCCUGUAAGCGGGGAAUAACCCGUUGAAAGACGGACUAAUACCGCAUAAUACUAAAUUACUGCAUGGUAAUUUAUUUAAACAUUUAUGGCUUACAGAUGGGCAUGCGCAUGAUUAGCUAGUUGGAGAGGUAACGGCUCCCCAAGGCAACGAUCAUUAGGGGUUCUGAGAGGAAGGUCCCCCCACACUGGUACUGAGACACGGACCAGACUCCUACGGGAGGCAGCAGUGAGGAAUAUUGGUCAAUGGACGAGAGUCUGAACCAGCCAAGUCGCGUGCAGGAAGAAUUGUCCUAUGGAUUGUAAACUGCUUUUGCAGGGGAAUAAAGUGCAUCACGUGUGAUGUUUUGUAUGUACUCUGCGAAUAAGGAUCGGCUAACUCCGUGCCAGCCGCUGC
rnacentral:rRNA from 1 species